rnacentral:miRNA from 1 species
GACGUCGAAUAUCGACGUCAUAAAUACCAAAGUUGUUCGUGUUUAUGACGUCGAAUAUCGACGUCAUCAACACCAAAGUUGAUCGUGUUUAUGACGUCGAAUAUCGACGCCAUAAACACCAAAGUUGACCGUGUUUAUGACGUCGAAUAUCGACGUCAUAAACACCAAAGUUGAUCGUGUAUAUGACGUCGAAUAUCGACGUCAUAAACACCAAACUUCUUCGUGUUUAUGACGUCGAAUAUCGACGUC